rnacentral:rRNA from 1 species
UACGUAGGGUGCAAGCGUUGUCCGGAAUUAUUGGGCGUAAAGAGCUCGUAGGCGGUCUGUCACGUCUGCUGUGAAAACUCGGGGCUUAACCCCCGGGCCUGCAGUGGGUACGGGCAGACUAGAGUGCGGUAGGGGGAGACUGGAAUUCCUGGUGUAGCGGUGAAAUGCGCAGAUAUCAGGAGGAACACCGGUGGCGAAGGCGGGUCUCUGGGCCGUAACUGACGCUGAGGAGCGAAAGCGUGGGGAGCGAACAGG